CCCCUCAACCAACUGCUGACAGGCAUCCCUGCUGAUAAAAAGUCGCAAAUCCGAAAGAUGCCAGUAAUCAUGGUUUGGGAGCAGUCUUGGCCCAGGUCCAACAAGGGCGAGAACGAGUGAUAGCCUAUGCCAGUCGCAGCCUACACCCAACAGAGCGGAAUGAUGCAAAUUAUAGCUCUUUCAAACUAGAGCUCCUGGCUCUUAAGUGGGCAGUAACCGAGAAAUUUAAAGACUAUCUGACUGGAGCCCGAUUCACGGUGUACACUGACAAUAACCCUGUGGCCCACUUACAGACAGCUCGCCUGGGUGCCGUGGAACAGCGCUGGGUCGCACAGCUUGCCUCCUUCGAUUAUGACAUCAAGUACCGCUCAGGUAAAAGUAAUGUAAAUGCAGAUGCCCUGUCUCGGUUUCCAAUUAACCCACUGACUGCAGAUGCCUCAUGUGAAAACCUUGAGCUGGAAACCGUUCCAGUCACGGCAGCCAUUGAACUGACCCCUGAGGGAGGUGAAGAGGAGUGGACAGGCAGAGAGUGGGAGGAGGCACAAGCUGGUGAUGCGGACCUUCAAAUCAUUAAGAGGUAUGUGGAAACCCAAAUGAUACCGACGAGACCAGAGCGCCUGACAUUGUCCCUUAGAGCCCAGAGACUGUUGCAACAAAGCGAAAACUUCAGGUUAAAAGCAAAAUACUGUGUCGUAAAAUGAUUGACCCGCACACACACGAAGUGUGUUUCCAGAUUGUGUGUCCAGAAUCUAGGAGCCAAGAAGUUUGGAAGAGGAUCCAUGAAGCCGCUGCCCAUGCUGGUGUGGAGAGAACCCUAAACCGGAUCCGUCAGCGGUUCUAUUGGCCUGAUAUGGAGAGGGAGGUACGUCAGUUGCAGCAGGGUUGUGUUGCCUGUAA